CCAAACUUGGUCAUUUAGAGGAAGUAAAAGUCGUAACAAGGUCUCCGUUGGUGAACCAGCGGAGGGAUCAUUACCGAGUGUUACAGCUCCCAAACCCUUUGUGAAUAUACCUGUCGUUGCUUCGGCGGGACCGCCCCGGCGCCUCCGCGCACCGGAACCAGGCGCCCGCCGGGGGUCCGAAACUCUUGCCUUCCCGAGCGGAUUUUCUGAGUGGGCGAAAGCCACGAAAAAAAAAAUGAAUCAAAACUUUCAACAACGGAUCUCUUGGUUCUGGCAUCGAUGAAGAACGCAGC
rnacentral:misc_RNA from 1 species